rnacentral:rRNA from 1 species
GAUGAACGCUGGCGGCGUGCCUAAUACAUGCAAGUCGAGCGAACGGACGAGAAGCUUGCUUCUCUGAUGUUAGCGGCGGACGGGUGAGUAACACGUGGAUAACCUACCUAUAAGACUGGGAUAACUUCGGGAAACCGGAGCUAAUACCGGAUGAUCUUUUGAACCGCAUGGUUCAAAAGUGAAAGACGGUCUUGCUGUCACUUAUAGAUGGAUCCGCGCUGCCUUAGCUAGUUGGUAAGGUAACGGCUUACCAAGGCAACGAUGCAUAGCCGACCUGAGAGGGGGAACGGCCACACUGGAACUGAGACACGGUCCAGACUCCUACGGGAGGAAGCAGUAGGGAAUCUUCCGCAAUGGGCGAAAGCCUGACGGAGCAACGCGGCGUGGGUGAUGAAGGUCUUCGGAUCGUAAAACUCUGUUAUUAGGGAAGAACAUAUGUGUAAGUAACUGUGCACAUCUUGACGGUACCUAAUCAGAGAGCCACGGCUAACUACGUG